GUCCACGCCGUAAACGAUGGAUGCUCGGCGUCCGUGGGGGAUACCCCGUGGGCGCCUCAGCUGACGCGGAAGCAUCCCGCCUGGGAACUACGAGCGCAAGCUUAAAACUCAAAGGAAUUGACGGGGGCCCGCACAAGCAGCGGAGCGUGUGGUUUAAUUCGACGCAACACGCAGAACCUUACCCAGCCUGGACAUGGACCUGCAGGCGCAAGAGAUUGCGCGGCCUUCGAGGGUGGUCCACAGAUGCUGCAUGGCUGUCGU
rnacentral:rRNA from 1 species